GAAGCCCAAGACUUCGCCCCUUGUGCGCGAGGCUCCGUGGCGGAGGAGGCUGACACGAAAAAUGGUGGCCUUCUCUUUCGUGGUGCGAUCUAGGGUUUCGGCUAGGACGAUUUUGAUGGCGCUGAGGCCUUCGAAGAAGCAAAUUACCGAAUCGGAGGCAUCUCCAUCGAUGCGGCAGGUUGCGUCGUUGAGGAGGCGCAGUUCUUGCACUCCAAGAUUACCGGUGAGUUCGCAUUGCUUGGUGUCGAUGCUGCCUCUCCACAGCGCGAUUGCCUCCGCUCGUCUGCGUUCGGUUCUCGCCGCGGAGUCCCAACGAUGGGGAUUAGUUCCACAAGGCAUCUCAAUGCCUUUAUGACAGCAACUAGCGGUUAUCUGCCUGGCAUGUAAAGGCUUCCAGCAGGUGCGAGGUACAUGACCUGUUGUGGUCUUCUGUGCAAUUGAGAGAAAUUCAGAUACCAUAAAACACAACCUACUGAAAAAUUGUUAUAUUUCUUCUUGUAUUUUUACUUCUGUUGAUUUACUUUUUCCGUUUGCCAGCUCUGAGAACAUUUUAGAUAAUGACCAUGUAGAACUGGUCUGCUGGAUUUCAUGAAAUGAAUAGCAGCUGAAAGAAUUUGGUCA